AUGCAGUCGACGAGUUCUCGUUGAUGAUCGGUGCUUGCACCGAGAUUCAACAUGGAACGAGUGGCGGACGGGUGAGUAACACGUGGGUAACCUGCCCUUAAGUGGGGGAUAACAUUUGGAAACAGAUGCUAAUACCGCAUAGAUCCAAGAACCGCAUGGUUCUUGGCUGAAAGAUGGCGUAAGCUAUCGCUUUUGGAUGGACCCGCGGCGUAUUAGCUAGUUGGUGAGGUAAUGGCUCACCAAGGCGAUGAUACGUAGCCGAACUGAGAGGUUGAUCGGCCACAUUGGGACUGAGACACGGCCCAAACUCCUACGGGAGGCAGCAGUAGGGAAUCUUCCACAAUGGACGCAAGUCUGAUGGAGCAACGCCGCGUGAGUGAAGAAGGCUUUCGGGUCGUAAAACUCUGUUGUUGGAGAAGAAUGGUCGGCAGAGUAACUGUUGUCGGCGUGACGGUAUCCAACCAGAAAGCCACGGCUAACUACGUGCCAGCAGCCGCGGUAAUACGUAGGUGGCAAGCGUUAUCCGGAUUUAUUGGGCGUAAAGCGAGCGCAGGCGGUUUUUUAAGUCUGAUGUGAAAGCCCUCGGCUUAACCGAGGAAGCGCAUCGGAAACUGGGAAACUUGAGUGCAGAAGAGGACAGUGGAACUCCAUGUGUAGCGGUGAAAUGCGUAGAUAUAUGGAAGAACACCAGUGGCGAAGGCGGCUGUCUGGUCUGUAACUGACGCUGAGGCUCGAAAGCAUGGUAGCGAACAGGAUUAGAUACCCUGAUAGUCCAUGCCGUAACGAUGAAUGCUAGGUGUUGUAGGGUUUCCGCCCUUCAGUGCCGCAGCUAACGCAUUAGCAUUCCGCCUGGGGAGUACGACCGCAAGGUGAACUCAAAGGGAUUGACUGGGGCCCGCACAACCGUGAGCUGUGUU
rnacentral:rRNA from 2 species